GAUUGCUUUCUAAAAUCCCCAAAAUUUUCACUUUUCUUUGAUUUUGAUGACUUUUAAAUUUGUUGAAAUUUGUGAUUUUUCUCAAAUAUUGAGAAGGAAUCACGAGUCCGCUACACCCCACCACAAUCUGCAUCUCGGAACCCUAAAAGUAAAUCGAUAGCAGCAGCAAGCCUUAGCAAUUGGACAUACAAAUCCUCUAAAGAAAAUGCGCCACCGACAUAAAAUCCGAAUUCUACUGUGUCAACUGCCACUGCCAUGAUAAAGAGCCCGCUUCCUCCGUAGCCCACCCUCAGCAGGAAGCUCUAUUUGGAGGCCGUAGUCGGAUUGGAGGAUAGUGAUGGACCUGCGAAUCCUGUCGAUUCUGGACAUUCAAUUUCAGCAUCUUCACAUCAACAUUGCAAUGUAAAAGCUAGAUAUCCUCAUUUGGGGCAAGUUCACGUAUUCUUUUUAGAGUUAUGUACUGAAUUGAGGAGUUGUGAAAAUUAGGCUUGGUUUUUCUGACUGGAUUGAUGCGGUUUAUGCUUGUAAUUAAACAUGAAGUCACUUUUCCCUCUUUGAUUUUAUAGGUGUGGAUAGGGUGUCCGCAAAAAUGAUAGAGAAAAGAAUGAGUGUUGGAUUUUACUGUAGCUUUUAUUUAUGUAAUUGAUAGUUUUUUAAAACACAGCUUUUGCUAUGGAAUAGAAACGAGCU
rnacentral:lncRNA from 1 species